rnacentral:rRNA from 1 species
GUGACGAAGCGUCGCCGCGUGUGGGAAGAAGGCCUUCGGGUUGUAAACCACUGUCGGGAGUUAAGAAAUGUAAGGGUGUUAAUAGCAUCCUUACUUGACUAAGGCUCCGGAGGAAGCCACGGCUAACUCUGUGCCAGCAGCCGCGGUAAUACAGAGGCGGCAAGCGUUGUUCGGAAUUAUUGGGCGUAAAGAGCACGUAGGCGGCCGUGCAAGUCGGUUGUGAAAGCCUUCCGCUUAACGGAAGAACAGCAGCCGAUACUGCAUAGCUUGAGUGCGGAAGGGGAGAGUGGAACUUCUGGUGGAGCGGUGAAAUGCGUAGAUAUCAGAAGGAACGCCGGCGGCGAAAGCGGCUCUCUGGUCCGUAACUGACGCUGAGUGUGCGAAAGCUAGGGGAGCAAACGGGAUUAGAUACCCCGGUAGUCCUAGCCGUAAACGAU